GGGGCUUUCAUCUCACAUCAAAUGUCUCACAAGUACAACAGUAUCCCCAAUAUACAGGUUUUAUGGUGUUUUGGAGAGUUACAGGGUCAAAUAAAGGGCUUUCCCCUUUUCAGUUUUUACACAAUAAAAUUUGCCAGAUUGGUUUGCUGGGCCUAUGUUGCCUUUGAGACCAUAUGGCAGCUAGGGUUGCCACAUUUUUUGGGGAAAAAAUACCGGUCAUUCGAAUUUGCAUAAUUAAUUAUAUAUCUGUGACAUCAUAG